CGACGAUGGUUCUGAGAGUCCGUUUCACUUUCACAUUGAGGGCAAGAGAGCUAGGCGAAAGAGAUUCUUCACAGCUCACAGUUCUCAACAAUUCUUCCCUUGGCUGGGAAUAUAUUGGUUGGUUAAAAUGGUGAAGUUAAGUAAGCACGCUUUAGAGUGGCAGCACGCAUAUUUGAUACCAGUGAUAGACAAUGUUCAAUAAAUACAUAUGUUGAAACUCCAUGUUGGUGCUGACUUGGACCCUGCCAAUCUCAUUAUUUGAUUGUUCAAAGGAAUUACAUGGAUAUAACUUCAAGUGACUGGUGAUUCAUGUACAAUAUCUCCCCCUUAUGAUCGACAUCCAUAGCUAGC